rnacentral:rRNA from 1 species
AGUGAACGCUGGCGGCAGGCCUAACACAUGCAAGUCGAACGGCAGCACAGGGGAGCUUGCUCCCUGGGUGGCGAGUGGCGGACGGGUGAGGAAUACGUCGGAAUCUACCUUUUUGUGGGG